rnacentral:lncRNA from 1 species
GACGGAGUCUUGCUCUGUUGCCCAGGCUGGAGUGCAGUGGCAUGAUCUUGGCUCACUGCAACCUCUGCCUCCUGGUUUAAGUAAUUCUCCUGCCUCUACCUCCUGAGUAGCUGGAACUACAGAGUCAAGAAAACUUAUUUGGAAUUAUUUACAGCUUUUAACAAUUAAGUAAGGUAUACACUUCUGUGAUCAAGAUUUGGAGCCUGUUUGUUUCUCUCUGCCUGGUUCCUCUAAAAUUUGGAAACUAUCUGAGUCAGUCUUCACUUGGAGAACCAAUAAAAGCCCCAGGAGGAGACUGGCCUCAUACCCUUGUU